GGUGAGUAAUGCCUAGGAAUCUGCCUGGUAGUGGGGGACAACGUUUCGAAAGGAACGCUAAUACCGCAUACGUCCUACGGGAGAAAGCAGGGGACCUUCGGGCCUUGCGCUAUCAGAUGAGCCUAGGUAGGAUUAGCUAGUUGGUGAGGUAAUGGCUCACCAAGGCGACGAUCCGUAACUGGUCUGAGAGGAUGAUCAGUCACACUGGAACUGAGACACGGUCCAG
rnacentral:rRNA from 1 species